ensembl:lncRNA
AGGAGCAGUUACGCCCCUGAGCCACAACGAACUGAGCCUGUGCUGCAGAGUUGAUGAGCUGCAACUGCAGAAGAAGCCUGUGUGCCGCAAUAAAGACCCAGCACAGCCAUCAGUGAAUAAAUAUAAAUAAAUAAUAACCUUAGAAGUUAAGGAAAAAUACGGGCUCUGUCAUUCUUUGGGGCUUCUGUGACUCUUCCAGCAGGCUGAUUGUGGUGGGCAGAACUGUCGUCCUCCCCUGCCCCCACUCGGACCGUGAAGAUCCUCUAAUCCCCAGAACCUGUGGAUGUGUUACGUCACUUGGCCACAGUGAGUUCAGGUUGCGGAUACCAUGAAGGCUGCUGGUCAGCGGACUUUACAGUAGAGAGAAGAGAUGAGAUUACCUCGAUGGGCUCAAUCUCAUCACCUGGAGAUCCGAGAAGGUGCCAUGAGCCGCCUCGAGGAGCCAGGAACAGCCCUCAGGUACAGCCAGUGAGAAAACAGGGACCUCGCUACAACUUCGAGGAGCUACAUUCUGUUAGCAACCCAAAUGGACGGAAACCAGAUUCUCCCCUAAAACUUAGAGGCUUCAGAAAGGAACGCAGCAGCUGACCUCUGGAUUUCAGCCAUGCCUGCCAGACUUCUGACCUGCAGAGCUGUGAGGCAAUUUGCGCUGCUUCAGAUGAGAGACCUACAGAUACAGAGACUGGAAUCCUGGAACACACUGGGGCGUGAGGAUCUCUGUUUGGCGACCCCACUAAGGUGGAUUUUUUACCAACUGAGCCACCAGAGAAGCCCGGAUCUGGCCUUAGACCACUGUUAACCACUGAGUUGCACAGUGGCAUCUGUCACCCGGCUUCUCUCACUCAUUUCUGAGACCAGGCCACCCUCCAGGCCAAUCCCACUGGCAUCUAUGGGGUGGGACUCAGGCAACUCUGCUGUUAGAGCUUCUCAGGGGAUUUGCAUGUGGAACCAAAGUGAGAACCACUGCUUGGGUCCCUGUUCUUCUCCCGCUGUGGUCCUCGGAGCAGCAGCAGCAGCCACUCCUGGGAGCUGGUUAGAAAGGCAGAACUUUGGCCCUACUCCAGACCUACUGAAUCAGAAACUACAUCUUAACAAGAUCCCCAUGUAGUUCUUAUUGUCCUUUUGUGCAAUCUAGUAACAAGGUUUCUCAGAAGAAGGAAAAAAACAGGAGAAAAA